CCAAGCAAAAUUUCCAGAGUGGUAGGAUGAGAGUUGCUGCCCCUAGCAGUCUUCUCACUUAUUAGCUGCGUAACAACAACAACAACAGCAAGAUGCCUGCCCACAAGCAUCUUUCCUCUGGUACAGAAGGUGGGGCCCUAAUGAACCACAGCUAGGAAAGACUAGCUGUCUGCUCAGGACCUCCAGGGAGAAAGAUGACAGACUAGACAUCUCUGGUUGACAGAAAUAAUUAUGUGCUGAUAUAUUUGGCAAAGCCAAAAACAUUGAGUAUCUUGUCCAAAAUGUAUAACUUACUGUUGAAGUGGCAUACAAAGGAUGAACAAGUUAAAUCUGUGAUGAUAGAUUGAGCAAGAGAUGUGGGACAUAACAUAAUGUUUGAAGAUUGGGAAAGGUUGUGGAGGAAAGGGGUCGAGUUCACUGCAUGUACGAUGUUAAAGGAAAAUGUUAUGAAAAUGAUGUAUAGAUGGUGCUUAACCCCUGUAAAACUAGCAAAGAUUUAUCAUAAGAGUGAUAAUUUAUGUUGGAAAUGUAAAGAAAGAGAAGGUAGUUUUUAUCAUACAUGGUGGGCCUAUCCCAAUGUGAAAGACUUCUGGGAGAAGAUUUACAAUGAAUUGAAAAAGAUGUUGAAAUAUCAUCAUCAAUCUCAUCAUCAUCACCAUCAUCAUGAAUCUUUAUUACGGUCCAGAGACCCAACAAAUCAUUACAAAGCAACACACAAUUCAUACAGCCUACCUCCAGGUUAAACAAGCAUUUUGUUCAGAAUAUAGGGAUCAUUGGUUCUUGCAACCACCGAUAAAAACUUUGCCACUGCUAAUGUUCUAGCAUUUGUCCGGUCUUUCAAUAGGAACCUGACAUAGUGAGCCUCUGAUUUUCCCGGGAAAGGUAAUAUCAGUUCAGCCCUGGCUUGCUCAUAUUUUGUACAGUGCAACAAAAUAUGUUUUAUGGAACCAAUGUCUCGAGCCCACGAGCAAAGUCUGACCUGGUAGGGAACUCCUCUCAACCUGCCAUCCAACACUGCAGAAGGAAAGACGUUUAGUCUGGCUUUGGUGAAAAGCCUUCAAUUUGGUUUGGUACUGUCAGAUUUUUAAUGUAAGAUGUUAACUUAAAGACAUGCCUAUAUUGUACUCCUACUGCCAGCGGACUACAGACUGCGUGUGUUUGAGAUCGCAAGUCACUGUGUGCAUUAUCCCAUAAUCUUUGCUUUAACGUCUUUAGGGUGAUUUCAUAACCCAGGUAAUACAGUUGGGGGGGGGGGUGACAGACCAAUAGAGGUGGCUUUUUUAGCCAUGGUUUUCUGCCAUUUGCUGACAAAUUCCUCAUUGGUCAGGUGUUGGUACAAACCCUUCCCUAAAUCAAACACUGAAAUCCUGAGCCAAUGUUUUAGAGCAGCCCACCACGCUUUAGUUGAAAUUGGGUAUUCACCAGCUUCUAACAGAAGUAUGGAGUUGGGGACACAGUUGGGUACCUGCAGCAGAGAUCGUAGAAAUUUUGCCUGAAAGCCAUCUAGCUUUGGCAAGUCCCCAUUAUGCAAGACAUUUGCAGUGUACAGGAGUUGGGAAAUGGGUUUUGCGUGGUGCUUCCAAUAUCCUGUAUCAUGGAAUGUGAGCCCUAGAUAACUGAAGUAUUUGAUCUGUUCAAGGUUAUGGGCCAUCCAGCACCCAUUUAGACCAGGAGAAGCUUCUUUUGAAAACUAGAAUUUUAGAUUUUUCAUAAGCUACCCUUCUGCCAGGCUUACCAACUUGCCGGCAGUCGCCCAUCAUCUCUACAUUCAUAUGCGCGUUCUUUGUGAUGUAGAGUGCCUGCCUGUUAUCCUGGAAUGCGGAUUCAGCAGAGAACCUUCGAACUAUCCUAAGCCUUCAUUUGUUCUCGUUUGUGAGUAUGUUUAGCUAGUGAUGUUAAACAAUGUUUUUAUUUUCUUGUUUGAACCCUGUAAGAGAUGUGCCAACUUUUAAGUUUGAAUAAUCUUGUUUUUAAAAUAAAUUUUGGGGAAAGGACUUUUCCUGUUCUGUCUUUUGUGCCUUCUGCUCAGGAAGUCUAAAUCUAAUGCCAGGAGAGGCGAGUCACCUGUGGGCUGGGACCACCCUAGGCCCCGGAGAAGAUAAUGGCCAGUCAGCUCAGUCCCAGGUUGCGGGAGCAACGACGUUGGAAACCUGUUUCUGCCAGCACCCAGACCUGCUUUUCCAGAGUUCACGACCACAACAGUGGUAAAUGAUGAAGAUGAAGAUGAAGAUGAUGGACUUUUCGGAGCUAGCCAACCUGACCGGAAGAGUCCGCGACCAGAAUGAGGAGGAGUAUCAGGAGGAAUGGAUGAAAUUUAAAGACUAUUAAUCUAAAUAUGCUAAGAUAACUUAAAUAGAAAUACUUGCAAAUACCAGAUU